rnacentral:rRNA from 1 species
UCCUACGGGAGGCAGCAGUGAGGAAUAUUGGUCAAUGGACGCAAGUCUGAACCAGCCAUGUCGCGUGCAGGAUGACGGCCCUAUGGGUUGUAAACUGCUUUUUUACGGGAAUAAACGCAUCUACGUGUAGGUGUCUGAAGGUACCGUAUGAAUAAGGAUCGGCUAACUCCGUGCCAGCAGCCGCGGUAAUACGGAGGAUUCGAGCGUUAUCCGGAUUUAUUGGGUUUAAAGGGUCCGUAGGCGGGCUUGUAAGUCAGUGGUGAAAUCCCGGAGCUCAACUCCGGAACUGCCAUUGAUACUGCAGGUCUUGAAUUUAGUUGAGGUGGGCGGAAUACGUUAUGUAGCGGUGAAAUGCAUAGAUAUAACGUAGAACACCGAUUGCGAACGCAGCUCACUAAGCUAAUAUUGACGCUGAUGGACGAAAGCGGUGGGGAACGAA